rnacentral:rRNA from 1 species
UACGUAGGCAGCGAGCGUUGUUCGGAUUUACUGGGCGUAAAGGGCGUGCAGGCGGUUUGUUAAGUGCAGGGUGAAAGCUCCCGGCUCAACUGGGAGAGGUCCUUGCAUACUGGCAAACUCGAGGGAGGCAGAGGAAAGUGGAAUUCCCGGUGUAGUGGUGAUAUGCGUAGAUAUCGGGAGGAACACCUGUGGCGAAGGCGGCUUUCUGGGCCUUACCUGACGCUGAGACGCGAAAGCGUGGGGAGCGAACCGG